rnacentral:rRNA from 1 species
GGACCUGACUGCUAUCGGAUUGAUACUAAGCCAUGCGAGUCAUUGUAGCAAUACAAGGCAUACGGCUCAGUAACGCGUAGUCAACCUAACCUAUGGACGGGAAUAACCUCGGGAAACUGAGAAUAAUGCCCGAUAGAACAUUAUGCCUGGAAUGGUUUAUGUUCCAAAUGAUUUAUCGCCGUAGGAUGGGACUGCGGCCUAUCAGUUUGUUGGUGAGGUAAUGGCCCACCAAGACUAUUACAGGUACGGGCUCUGAGAGGAGUAGCCCGGAGAUGGGUACUGAGACACGGACCCAGGCCCUAUGGGGCGCAGCAGGCGGGAAAACUUUGCAAUGUGCGAAAGCACGGCAAGGUUAAUCCGAGUGGUUUCUGCUAAAGAAACCUUUUGUCAGUCCUAGAAACACUGAUGAAUAAGGGGUGGGCAAGUUCUGGUGU